CCCUUAGAUGUUCUGGGCGGCCCGCGCACUACAUUGGCACUAGCAAAGAGAUCCUAGAUUGAAUUCUUUGGGGUAUUCUUCUAAAUGGUGUCGUGACUGGGAUAAAUCCUUGUAAUUAUUGGUUUUGAACGAGGAAUUCCUUGUAAUCGCGGUUUAUCAGCUCGCGUUGAAUGCGUCCCUGCCCUUUGUACACACCGCCCGUCGCUCCUACCGAUGGAUCGUCCGGUGAAGCUCACGGAGUGACUGUUCACGCAACGGUUUACGAAGUGAAAUGGACCUAACGAUUUAGAGGAAGGAGAAGUCGUAACA
rnacentral:rRNA from 1 species